rnacentral:rRNA from 1 species
ACGAACGCUGGCGGCGUGCUUAACACAUGCAAGUCGAACGGAAAGGCCCUGCUUUUGUGGGGUGAUCGAGUGGCGAACGGGUGAGUAACACGUGAGUAACCUGCCCUUGACUUUGGGAUAACUUCAGGAAACUGGGGCUAAUACCGGAUAGGAGCUCCUGCUGCAUGGUGGGGGUUGGAAAGUUUCGGCGGUUGGGGAUGGACUCGCGGCUUAUCAGCUUGUUGGUGGGGUAGUGGCUUACCAAGGCUUUGACGGGUAGCCGGCCUGAGAGGGUGACCGGCCACAUUGGGACUGAGAUACGGCCCAGACUCCUACGGGAGGCAGCAGUGGGGAAUAUUGCACAAUGGGCGGAAGCCUGAUGCAGCAACGCCGCGUGUGGGAUGACGGCCUUCGGGUUGUAAACCGCUUUCGCCUGUGACGAAGCGUGAGUGACGGUAAUGGGUAAAGAAGCACCGGCUAACUACGUG